CCUGCCCGGUGACUCAUGUUCAACGGCCGCGGUAUCCUAACCGUGCAAAGGUAGCAUAAUCACUUGCCCAUUAAUUGUGGGCUAGAAUGAAUGGACCAACGAAAUAAAGACUGUCUCUAUAAGCCCCCUAAAAAUUAAUCCCUAACUGAAGAGUGUUAGAUACCGUCGAAGGACAAGAAGACCCUAUAGAGCUUUAUCCUUAUAAAAUCUAGUAUUUUUACAGGAUUCGGUUGGGGCGACCAGGGAAAUCAAUCAUCAUCCCUUUUUCAUAGAUCUAUAAAUCUUAAUACUGACCCUUAUUAAAGAUCACAAGACCAAGCUACCUUAGGGAUAACAGGCUAAUUCCCCUAAAGAGUCCUUAUCAAUAGUGGAGUUUGGCACCUCGAUGUUGGCUUAGGGAACCUAUGUGGCGCAAAAGUCACAUAAAGAUGGUUUGUUCAACCAAUAAUACCCUACAUGAGCUGAGUUCAGACCGGCGUAAGCCAGGUUAGUUUCUAUCCUCGACAACACAACCUAUUUAUAGUACGAAAGGACCUAAAUAAGGAUAAUAAUUAUAAUAAAAGAAUAAAUAUAACACAAGUUAAAAAGUUAUUUACAUAGACUA
rnacentral:rRNA from 1 species